rnacentral:rRNA from 1 species
UUGUCCUACGGGGGGCAGCAGUAGGGAAUCUUCCACAAUGGGCGAAAGCCUGAUGGAGCAACGCCGCGUGGGUGAAGAAGGUCUUCGGAUCGUAAAACCCUGUUGUUAGAGAAGAAAGUGCGUGAGAGUAACUGUUCACGUUUCGACGGUAUCUAACCAGAAAGCCACGGCUAACUACGUGCCAGCAGCCGCGGUAAUACGUAGGUGGCAAGCGUUAUCCGGAUUUACUGGGUGUACAGGGAUCGUAGCCGGCUGUGCAAGUCUGAA